GACGAACGCUGGCGGCGUGCUUAACACAUGCAAGUCGAACGGAAAGGCCCUGCUUUUGUGGGGUGCUCGAGUGGCGAACGGGUGAGUAACACGUGAGUAACCUGCCCUUGACUUUGGGAUAACUUCAGGAAACUGGGGCUAAUACCGGAUAGGAGCUCCUGCUGCAUGGUGGGGGUUGGAAAGUUUCGGCGGUUGGGGAUGGACUCGCGGCUUAUCAGCUGGUUGGUGGGGUAGUGGCUUACCAAGGCUUUGACGGGUAGCCGGCCUGAGAGGGUGACCGGCCACAUUGGGACUGCGAUACGGCCCAGACUCCUACCGGACGCAGCAGUGGGGAAUAUUGCGCAAUGGGCGGAAGCCUGAUGCAGCAACGCCGCGUGCGGGAUGACGGCCUUCGGGUUGUAAACCGCUUUCGCCUGUGCCGAAGCGUGAGUGACGGUAAUGGGUAAAGAAGCACCGGCUAACUACGUG
rnacentral:rRNA from 1 species